rnacentral:antisense_RNA from 2 species
UGAAUACUAGAUGAAAAGCACCUAGACCUAACAAAAUUAAGUGAAUACCCAAAACAUUUGUAAUUUUGUUUCUAUCUUCCA